GUUAGUUUAACGGUCUUAUGGUGUAGCGGUUAGCACUCUGGACUCUGAAUCCAGCGACCCCAGUUCAAAUCUGGGUAAGACCUG